UGUUUUCCCCCUCGUGGGUUUUAGUUUUACCUGUUUGUUUAGUCUUGUUAUUUGUUUAAUAAAUCGGUGUUACCAUCCAUACCAUCUGUAUCUGCCUACACUUGGGUUCCCACGCCAUGUCUCUGUGUGAGAUUCAUGACACUUUUGACUCUGAGCCGCCCUGCAUGUGGGUGAUGGUGGUUAUGAAUGCUGCCUUUGUGUCUGUGUUCUGCUGCUCCUCUGAUAACACAAUAGCUGUGAUCGUGAGAAUCCAGGAGGAUCUUUUUCUUUACAGUGAACGGCUCCUCUUCUCAAUCAUGAUUGUGGGUCAAGCGAAGGACCUCAGAGGACACAUGCAGACCUCGCCUGGUAAUACAGGAGUGACCAAAUUGUUGCCGAAACAGUCCAGCCCUCAGCUCCAUUUACCAUCAAGCCAGUGUGGACGACCCUGAAGGAGACGUGGGCUUCUCUGCACAUGGCCUCACAAACGUUGCACAUCUCACCUGUCAGAGCUGAUGAAAUGACACUGGCUGGUGUACAGCAGAACUCUUUGUGGUUUUGGCCCCACCACCAAUGAUCUCCUGCGCUUCUGCUCUGAGGAGAUUUCAGGAGGUGUGACACAGACAAAGAGAUGCAGCAAAUUUUGUCCAAAUACUAAAAAAUGUGUAACAGCAAGUAAUAUCUUUGUGCAUUAACAAUUUUGUUAUG